CGCUGGGGGCAGCUUGAUACGACCGCAGAGGUCAAACCCUGAACAGUUGGGGCAAGUAUGGACACAACAUUCAAGCUUGAUACAGCUCUGAAUUUGGAUUGUGAUUAAAUAUUUGACACAGCAUAGGUUUCUGACACAGAAUGAAUGUGGUCUAAGAACUUAAAUUUUUUUAAUUUACCUAUUAUGGUCCAAUAUCCAAAAUCUAAAUACAUGGUUAGAUUCAGCAUAUCAAAGAAUCCAAAGAAUUCAAUUUUUGAUGAAAUCAAAUAGUUUAAUUUUGGACCCUUUUGACCUCAAUGUGGACCAAUUUGAUAACAGGGCCCAAAAAUCAAAAUACAUGGUGAGAUUCAGCAUAUCAAAGAACCCCAUAUAUUCAAUUAUUGUUGAAAUCAAACAAAGUUUAAUUUUGGACCUAAACUUGGACCAACUUGAAAACUGGGCCCAUAAUCAAAAAUCUAAACACAUGUUUAGAUUCAGCAUAUCAAAGAACCCCAAGAAUUCAAUUUUUGUUAAAAUCAAACUAAGUUUAAUUUUGGACCCUUUGGACCUUAAUGUAGACCAAUUUGAAAACUGGACCCAAAAUUAAAAAUCUAAAUACACGGUCAGAUUCUGCAUAACAAAUAAAUAAAUGUGGUCAAAGAUUUUACAAAUCUAAUGCGCCAUUCUGUGCAAUUAAAGAUUACUUCUUGAAAUUUUUCAAUAUUUGAAAUUUGAAAAAAAAGUAAUAUUUGAAGAAUAAUUCUUUUUAAUUUCUGAAAUCUGAAAUUAAAAAAAAUUGACCCCCACAAUUUCUUCCCCCCCAAAAAAUUCUUUCCCUCAAGAUAUGGUCAUAAUCUCAAUUCAAAUUUAGGGAGGUAAUUCAAAUG